UUUGUUCCCAGCUUAUCGAAAGCUUGCGAGGAGUUAUCAUCCGGAUGUGAACAAGUGAGUAAAAAAUAUUCUAGUAUGUGCACAUUUACAAGGAUGUAAUCAUUAUGUUCCAGUCAUCAAAAUGCAUUUUUGUGAUAGCAAGUUCUUUUUCCGCUUCAAGAAUAGCAUUUGUUAUUGGACAUGAUUGUCAUAAGUGACCUAUUGUGUAUUUUAAUUGAAUGUCAUUAUUAUUCUACUAUUAUUGUUGUUAUUGUCAUUGUUCUGAGUUGAUCUGGUGAAGUCUUUUCUUUUUCUUUUUUUCUUUGCAUCAUUGAUCUUACCAUGGCUGAAUUUUCAAAAUGGUCAGGAGUAGGCGUUUUAAGCAUUUUAAGCAUUUUUCUUUAUAUUGAAUAUUGUGCAGACGAGCUUUGUGCAC
rnacentral:lncRNA from 1 species